rnacentral:rRNA from 1 species
CGAGCUGGGUUCAGAACGUCGUGAGACAGUUCGGUCCCUAUCCGGCGCGGGCGUAGGAUAUUUGAGAGGAGCUGCCCCUAGUACGAGAGGACCGGGGUGGACGGACCACUGGUGUAUCAGCUGUCGACCAACGGCAUAGCUGAGUAGCCAAGUCUGGACGGGAUAAACGCUGAAGGCAUCUAAGCGUGAAGCCCCCCUCAAGAUGAGAUAUCCCAUUCCUUCAAGGAAAUAAGAUCCCUUAUAGACGAUAAGGUAGAUAGGUUCAAGGUGUAAGUGCGGUAACGCAUUCAGCUGAUGAAUACUAAUAGAUUGAAGGUUUAUUCU